rnacentral:rRNA from 1 species
GACGAACGCUGGCGGCGUGCUUAACACAUGCAAGUCGAACGGAAAGGCCCUGCUUUUGUUGGGUUCUCGAGUGGCGAUCGUGUGAGUAACACGUGAGUAACCUGCCCUUUACUUUGUUAUAUCUUCAGGAAACUGGGGCUAAUACCGUAUAGGAGCUCCUGCUGCAUUGUGUUGGUUUGAUAGUUUCGGCGGUUGGGGAUGGACUCGCGGCUUAUCAGCUUGUUUGUUGGGUAGUGGCUUACCAAGGCUUUGACGGGUAGCCGGCCUGAGAGGGUGACAGGCGACAAUGGGAGUGAGAGACGGAACAGACUGCUACGGGAGGCAGCAGUGGGGAAGAGUGCACAAUGGGAGGAAGCGUGAUGCAGCAAAGCGGCGAGCGGGAUGACGGCCUGCGGGUUGAAAAAAGAAUUAGAAUGUGACGAAGAGUGAGUGACGGUAAUGGGUAAAGAAGCACCGGCUAACUACGUG